rnacentral:lncRNA from 1 species
AGCACAAAAUUCUAAAAAGUAUUUCUAGAACAAAAAAAAUAAAGAUUAUCUACAUAGUUUUCACAUGUUAUCACUGGUAUUCCAAGUAAGAAAACAUUAAAGUCUGAAAGUCUUAUUAAAUGAAUCACUUGUUUGUGUGAUACACUUUUUUGGAAAAAGCUCUUACCCUAGAAAAUAUAAAUUUCAAAAUACUGUACUGAAGCUCUUUUGUUUGAUUGGUUGUUUCUUAGUAUCUUCUGGAAAGGGCUUAUGGGUUGCUUGCCUUUUAUAAUAACACUAAAAAGUUUAGGACAUAAUACUUGAAUAAAUAUUGUCCUUUUUUGAAAUCCUGCUUUAUAAUAGACAUUUGAAUCAGAAUUUAUUUCCCAGUUCAUAGAUAUCUAUACUUAAGAGAGUAUUUGAAGUCAAGUGUGGUAUGUACCUAUAAUCUCAGCACUUGGGAGGGAGAGGCUGGAAGAAUGCCAUGAUUUUGAGGGCAUCCUAAACUACAUAGUUCUAAGACAAUAUGGCCUAUAUAACAACUGAACUUAAAAGGUGAGUAUGUGAGCACAUAUUUGUAAUCCUUAUACCUAGAUGACAGAAGCAGAAGGAUCUACAAGUUACACGUUGUAGUACUUUGCCAAAAAAAAAAAAAGGUAAGAAAAGUGUGGAUUUGUUUUUCUUGUAUUUUUUGAGGCAGACUGUCUAUGUACUUCAGGCUGGCCUUGAACUCUCCAUCCUCCUGCUUCAGCCUUCCAAAUGCAAGGAAAUAUAGAUGUAUACCACCAUGCCCAGCUCUGGAUGACAGUUUUUAAUUAACAAUUCCAAGUAACUGGAAGUAUAUUUUCUAUUGAUCAUUCUGAAUUCGUAAAGUUUUUCUCUUCGAGGAGUUGUUUCUUUAUUUCAGUUUUUUGUUUUGUUUUCAGAUGGACAUGCUAGUGAGCUCAGACUGGCCUGGAAUGUGCUGUGUAGCCCAAGAUGUUAUCAAACUUAAAACUCACAUGCCUCAGCAUCCCAAGUGAUGGAAUUGUGGGCACUGCUGCCAUAGCCAGCUUUUGGAUUCUUCAUACUAUAGCAAAGUUGUAGAGAGAGUUUGUUGACCAAAACAAAACUAUUAUUUUUGUCCCAAAGUAUUGUCUUUACUGUCUCAUAUUAAAUACCAAUUCCAUUUUACUUUUAAUUUAAACAUUUGUUGUGUCCAUGUCUAAUGAAUUUAAAACAUUCAAACUUUUCAUUAUAAAGAACCAUGGAUCAGGCCAGAAGAUAUCAGUUAAGAGCACUUGCUGCUCUCACAGAAGACUGUCCAGUGCCCAACAGCUGCCGGUGGUAGCUUACAACUGUAACUGUAGGUGCCAGCAUACCUGCAUUCACAUGCACAUACCCCCUCACAGAUACAUAGUUUAAAAAUAGAACCUUGAUCAUUAUAAACAUAGAAAACAACAUUUACUACUUUGAAGAUUAUUUUAUGGUGCCUCUUCCAAAACACAUGUUUUUUUAAAGUUAAGAACUGUGUAAACUAUUAAUUAUUCUGGAUUACACCUGAAUGGAAUUGAGCUAAAUGUAUUUCUUUCUGACUUUUCAUCUUUCUGAUUUUUGGAACAGAAUAAAAGUAUUAUAACCUAAAAACGGAUACUGAACUUUUUCUGGCAGUAUCAGUAGAGCAUGACCUUUACCAGAUAAAAUUUAGUACUCUUAUAUUUUCCUUAGUGAAGAUUUCAGUCUUUAAAUAGAUUUUUCUGAUCCUACCCUUCAUUAGGACAUACAAGAAAACAGCAUAAGAGUUAGUAUACUAUCUUUGGAGCACUAUGAUGCAUGCCAAAAUGAAUGAGUUCAUCUUUGAGGUCCAUAUUGACAUUUUUCCUUCCAGCUUCUAUAAUAUAUAUGAUAGUUGCUUAGUAAAUAUAAAAUGCAAUGACGUGAUUCUAAUGCUAAAAGAGCUAAAAUAUUUAAAAUUUUAACUUCAUGAAUGCUAUUAUUGCUUCUUCAAAUAAAGGUACUAUUCUAAAUAUCAAUGACACUUUAAAUAAAUGUAACUCCAUUUCCAGAUAUCUUGGUUUGUUAUAUUAUUUCCCACAAAUGUAUUUUUAGCACCUAAAAUGGAAACUCCUAAGGACAAGUUAUUUUAUCAUAUUUUUGUCUCAUAGCUACUAUGAAUAUACUAUUAAAUAUAAAGGUUAAAUUCUAGGAAACAUGUAAUAUGUACAAUUACUUUAUUUUGAUGAGUGUUGAGGUAAAUAUGUAUGGGUUGUCUAUAGUCUUUAUAUUUUGUGCUUAAAGAUUAUACAUGUUAUGAAUACAUAGACUAUCUUGGCUUAAAUAGAGAAAAAGUUAAUUACUCCUGGUAAAAUAUUACUAACAAUGCUUCUAAGAUUUAAUAACUGAAAAGUAUACAAAAUAAAUAUUUUACAUCAC